GUUAGCGGCGGACGGGUGAGUAACACGUGGGUAACCUACCUAUAAGACUGGGAUAACUUCGGGAAACCGGAGCUAAUACCGGAUAACAUUUGGAACCGCAUGGUUCUAAAGUGAAAGAUGGUUUUGCUAUCACUUAUAGAUGGACCCGCGCCGUAUUAGCUAGUUGGUAAGGUAACGGCUUACCAAGGCGACGAUACGUAGCCGACCUGAGAGGGUGAUCGGCCACACUGGAACUGAGACACGGUCCAGACUCCUACGGGAGGCAGCAGUAGGGAAUCUUCCGCAAUGGGCGAAAGCCUGACGGAGCAACGCCGCGUGAGUGAUGAAGGGUUUCGGCUCGUAAAACUCUGUUAUUAGGGAAGAACAAAUGUGUAAGUAACUGUGCACGUCUUGACGGUACCUAAUCAGAAAGCCACGGCUAACUACGUGCCAGCAGCCGCGGUAAUACGUAGGUGGCAAGCGUUAUCCGGAAUUAUUGGGCGUAAAGCGCGCGUAGGCGGUUUCUUAAGUCUGAUGUGAAAGCCCACGGCUCAACCGUGGA
rnacentral:rRNA from 1 species